rnacentral:rRNA from 1 species
ACGCUCGACACCUACUGGAGGCAGCAGUGGGGAAUAUUGCACAAUGGGGGAAACCCUGAUGCAGCGACGCCGCGUGGAGGAAGAAGGUCUUCGGAUUGUAAACUCCUGUUGUUGGGGAAAAAGAGGAUGGUACCCAACAAGGAAGUGACGGCUAACUACGUCNCNNNCGCGUAGUAUGNGNGGCGNGNGAGAG